UCCAGACUCCUACGGGAGGCAGCAGUGGGGAAUAUUGCACAAUGGGGGAAACCCUGAUGCAGCAACGCCGCGUGAGUGAAGAAGUCAUUCGUGAUGUAAAGCUCUAUCAGCAGGGAAGAAAAUGACGGUACCUGAGUAAGAAGCCCCGGCUAACUACGUGCCAGCAGCCGCGGUAAUACGUAUGGGGCAAGCGUUAUCCGGAUUUACUGGGUGUAAAGGGAGCGUAGGCGGCAGGGCAAGCCUGAUGUGAAAGCCCGGGGCUCAACCCCGGGACUGCAUUGGGAACUGCCCCGCUCGAGUGCCGGAGGGGCAGGCGGAAUUCCUAGUGUAGCGGUGAAAUGCGUAGAUAUUAGGAGGAACACCAGUGGCGAAGGCGGCCUGCUGGACGGUGUACUGACGCUGAGGCUCGAAAGCGUGGGGAGCAAACAGGAUUAGAUACCCGCGUA
rnacentral:rRNA from 1 species